rnacentral:rRNA from 1 species
UACGUAGGCGGGAAAUUAAGUCAGUAGUGAAAUCCCACAGCUUAACUGUGGAACUGUUAUUGAUACUGGUUUUCUUGAAUAUAGUUGAGGUAGGCGGAAUGUGUAAUGUAGCGGUGAAAUGCUUAGAUAUUACACAGAACACCGAUUGCGAAGGCAGCUUACUAAGCUAUGAUUGACGCUGAGGAACGAAAGCGUGGGGAGCGAACAGGAUUAGAUACCCUGGUAGUCC